CCUACGGGGGGCUGCAGUAGGGAAUAUUGGACAAUGGGCGCAAGCCUGAUCCAGCCAUCCCGCGUGAAGGAUUAAGGCCCUCUGGGUUGUAAACUUCUUUUCUUUGGGAAUAAAAACUCCGAUUCAUCGGAGCUUGAAGGUACCAGAGGAAUAAGCACCGGCUAACUCCGUGCCAGCAGCCGCGGUAAUACGGAGGGUGCAGGAGUUAUCCGGAUUAAAGGGUUCUAAAGUGUGCGUGGAAGUCAGUGUAGAAAGCCCGGAGCUCAACUCCGGAACUGCCAUUGAUACUGCUUAGCUUGAAUCAGGUCGAGGUGUAUGGAAUAUUACAUGUAGCGGUGAAAUGCUUAGAUAUGUAAUAGAACACCGAUUGCGAAGGCAGUUCACUAGGCCUGUAUUGACACUGAGGCACGAAAGCGUGGGGAUCAAACAGGAUUAGAUACCCGAGUAGUC
rnacentral:rRNA from 1 species